AAAAACACACACAAAAGCUCUCACACAAAAGAAGAAGCAAUUUCCGUCACUUUCAAACCUAGCUGCAGAGGUCGUCGAUUUCCCGGAGAUUGAACCGUUGGAUCACUCUGAUUUUUGGGCACAGUCAUCACGACAUCAGGGCGACCUUAUCCAACGGUCAGUUUGUCUUAAUCGCCACCGGAAGUCUGUCUGCACAGCCUCUGUUCGCUGCUGCAGAAUUUGGUGAUAUUCCUUCUUUUGUCUUUGUAUUUUGAUUCCAUAUGCUUGAAGUUGUUGAUUCCAAGUACUUUGUAUUGCUCUAAUUUGGUGAUAGUGGAUUUGAAGCGGCUCUAGUAGUCCCGUGGUUUUUACUCUCGUUUUUUAUAGGUUUUCCAAGCUAAAAUUUGGUGUUCUUGUUAUUGUUUUCGGAUUGUUUAGAUUGUAGUCGACAUACCCUAUUUGUUUGCAUCCUCAUAGGUGCAUUCAAGUUUGGGAAAAUUCUUGGUCAAACGAAGUUUGCUUCCGCAUUUGUGUUUACCAUUUGUGACCGGGUUUCGCGUUUUUCCCAUCGCUAAUUUACCUCAUUGCCCUGUGUCGGAUGGUUCGCCAUUGUCUUUGUUCGUUCCUGUGCCUAAUUGUGCUCUUGAUCCGGUUAAUGCUUCGUCCCUUGCAGUGGCGGUGGCGGGAACUUCACCGGUGAUUCCUCCUCAAGUACCUUUGACUUUAGCUCAAGGAUCUAGUCCUACUCUGGCUGAUAAUCCGACUGCUGAUAUAGGGAUUAACAAUUAAAAGGGUGGAGUUAAAACCCGGGUGAUAUUUCCAGCCAAAGUCCCGGUAGCAGUUUCUAUUGUAACUUGGCUAAUUUUUUUUUGUUAAUACUUAGUUUACGUAUCUUCUUUUAAUUUGGAAUUUAUGAUUUGAUAUGUCUAUUUUGAUGUUCAUGAUUUGCUAGCUAUGAGUUUUCUGU
rnacentral:lncRNA from 1 species